rnacentral:rRNA from 1 species
UACGUAGGGGGCUAGCGUUGUCCGGAAUCAUUGGGCGUAAAGCGCGUGUAGGCGGUUCGGUAAGUCCGCUGUGAAAGUCGGGGGCUCAACCCUCGGAAGCCGGUGGAUACUGUCGAGCUAGAGUACGGAAGAGGCGAGUGGAAUUCCUGGUGUAGCGGUGAAAUGCGCAGAUAUCAGGAGGAACACCAGUUGCGAAGGCAGCUCGCUGGGACGUUACUGACGCUGAGACGCGAAAGCGUGGGGAGCAAAUAGG